UACGUAGGGGGCAAGCGUUGUCCGGAAUCAUUGGGCGUAAAGAGCGUGUAGGCGGCUCGAUAAGUCUGCUGUGAAAGUCCAGGGCUCAACCCUCGAAUGCCGGUGGAUACUGUCGGGCUAGAGUGCGGAAGAGGCGAGUGGAAUUCCUGGUGUAGCGGUGAAAUGCGCAGAUAUCAGGAGGAACACCUAUUGCGAAGGCAGCUCGCUGGGACGUAACUGACGCUGAGACGCGAAAGCGUGGGGAGCAAACAGG
rnacentral:rRNA from 1 species